CCCCCACUCCCUCCUGGCACUGCCCUGCUUUCCCUGGGGACAGCUGCCCACCACCCCCUCCCCUCAGCUGCCUCUCCCGCUCUCUCCCUCCCACACCUGCUCCCGCACAACGGGUUGGCAGCCCCGCCGACUCCCACAGUGGGGAGGCCCCUCUGCUGACCCAUGGGGCCGGACCGCGUGUCCCCGCGUGCUGGUGGUAUUUUUAUCCUGUCUCGGAACACACGGUCCUGUGAUGAAUGUUUCACAGUUUACGGAAUUCAUUUCAUGUCCUGCCAGGUCCGGGACCAUCAGCUGCACGUGUUCAUCCGUCUGCAGCUCAUCGUUACCCAGGCCGCGGGACACGGGCCCCUGACCUGGCGCCUUAUCGCUCGGGAGGUGGCAAAGCUUCCCUUCCUCCCUGUCCCUCUCUCUCUCUGUCUCUCCCUUUCCCUGUCUCUCUCUCUCCCUGUCUCUCUCUCCCCUCUCUCUGUUUCUCUGUCUCUCUGUCUCUCUCUCUCUCUGUCUCUCCUUUUCCCUAUCUCUCUCUCCCUCCCCCUCUCUCUGUCUCUCCCCAUCUCUUUCUCUCCCUGUUUCUCUGUCUCCCUCUCUGUCUCUCCCUCUCUCCCUGUCUUUCUCUCUGCCUGUCUCUCUCUGUCUCUCCCUUUCCCUAUCUCUCUCUCUCCCUGUCUCUCUCCCCCUCUCUCUGUCUCUCCCCCUCUCUCUGUCUCUCCCUGUUUCUGUCUCUCUCUCUGUCUCUCUCCCUGUCUCUUUCUCUGUCUCUCCCUCUCUCCCUGUCUCCCUCUCCCUCCCUCUCUCUCUCCCCCCGACCCUGUCUCCCCCCGACCCUGUCUCUCUCUCUCUCUGCCUGUCUCUCUCCCUCUUUCUCCCUGUCUCUCUCUCUCUCCCUCUGUCUCUCUCUCUCCCCCUCUCUCCCUGUCUCUCUCUCUCCUUCUUUCUCUCUGCUCCAUCUCUCUCUCCCUGUCUCUGUCUCUCUCCCCCACCCUCUCUCCCUGUCUCUCCCUGUCUCUGUCUCUCUCCCUGUCUCUCCACACACACCCACCCCCCGUCUCUUUCUCUCUCUGCCUCUCUCCCCACCCCACCCCCGUCUCUCUCUCUCCUCCCUCUGUCUCUGUCUCCCUGUCUCUGUCUCCCUGUCUCUCUCCCCACCCCACCCCCGUCCCAUCUCUCCCUCUCUCUCUCUCUCUCUCCCUGUCUCCCUGUCUCUCUCUGUCUCCCUGUCUCUCUCCCCGCCCUGUCUCUUACCCCUUCUCUCCCGGCCUCCUCCUAGGGUCUCCGCUCCAUCCCCUCCUGCCCCGCUGGCCUCUCCUCUACUCACAGCCUCCUCCCUCCCCGCUCCGUCUCUCCCUCUCCCAUCGUCUGCUCUCCGCUGGCUUCUCUCCCUGCCGGCUCCCCCUCCCGCCCCGGCUGCCCCUGCCCCGUCCCCUUCACCGGUCUCUCGCGGCUCCGCCGCAGCUCUCCCCCUGCCUGCCCCUCCUGUCCCUCUCCCCCUUCCCCGGGCUGCUCCUCCCCUCCCCCUCCCCACUCCCCACUCCCCCCC
rnacentral:lncRNA from 1 species